UGCAUCUUAUUUAUUGAUUUGUCCUCCCAAAACUUUGUUUUCGCUUAAGAUCGGACUUACAAGGAUUAUCUUCUUCGGCUACUUACAUAACAUUACAGUUUAUAAAGAAAUCACAUUGUCGAGAGGGUCGCGCUGUAGGCGUUUCAGUCGGCUGGCGGGCGCGGCCAGAGCGCGCCGGCGCUCCCGGACAUCUUUCAAUAUGAAAGAAACGUUUCACGUAUGUAUUUUGCAAAAAUUUACAGGCGUCAGGUGUAACACGAAGCACGCGCCGGCGAGCGCUCUCCCACGCGCCCAGCGCUAACUACCUAUAGUAACCUUAACUAACGCUACAUAAUUACAAAUGCACAGUGUUUACACAAUAACCAUACACUUUUACAUAUGUAUACAUAAUUUACGGUUAGAUCCGAGUACAUACAGUAUAUGUAUAAGGUUCGUGGAACCGCCGGCGCGCGCCGCUUCGCCGGGUAUGUACAGGGACGGCCGCGGCGCGCGCGGAGCGAAGCUAUACAAAAAUAACGAGUAAUCUUACAAAAAGUUAACUUACGAACGUCCGCCCGGGACCCGGCGGGGGCGGCGAAGCCGGCGCGUCUAUACACAAUGUACAACUUGUACUAACUUACUAAGUGUCGCUAAAUAAUGGACGAAGUCUCGCGGAAAUCCUAUACUAAGAGGGGCCCCGCGGGGCCCCGGCGUCAGAGUGGUGAUGGAAGACUGGAUAAAAUAUUACAUCUUUAUUUAUUCGAAUAAGAACAUUUCACGUCGACGUCCGCCACGUUGACCGUACUGAGGUAAUGUUGCAUGCGGCAGUGCUGCUGAGGAGGCGGCGUCGGAGUCGCUAGUCCCCCCUUAGUAAGACGACACCCAAAAAUGAAUUCAAAAUCCAAUUCAAAUUAUAAACUUUGUAAAAAACUUGAUUAGUGUCUAACGAUGCCGACGGCCGCCCCGUGGAAGGCUCGACGCGAGUGAGAACUACAUAGACACUAUCUAUGUGCGCACAGACGCGUGACUGUAGCGUGUAUCACUCAUCAUCUUUUGAAAUCAACGUGAACACGUGUAUCACAAAAUUUAAGAACCGAACUCUAUGAAUUAUCAAUCAGGCAUCUGCAUUCGAAACCCCAUUACAAGACUCGAUCUUACAGUAAACAUAUCCCAACAUAGCGCCGUCAAGUCUUGGCAUGGUCACCCACAGGCAUAAUGCGUCAAACCAUUUAAUCGCAAAAAGAAAAAUCCUAAAUCGAUUAAUUAGUAUUCUUCGUUGAUUUAUGUUGAUUAAUAUUUAUCGUAAUAUUAAAUAAUACAUAUGUAUUUACAAACGCUCAAAGACAUCCAAUAAAUACUUUUUGCGUCACCAAACGGCUGUGAACACAUUAUGCCCGGUACAAGAUUACAAAUAUUAGAUGAAUGGUACAAGUAUACAUUUAAAAUUAUUUGAAAAUGAAUGAAAGCAAUAUACAAUUUUCGAUAUUUAUUGUAUUACAAAAUAAAAAUAAACAGCUCACAGUAUGAUUGUACAUAGACGUCACAAUUUUACCUUAAUGCUGUGUCUGAUUAAUUUAAAUAAUAAUUUACAUUUGACAGUUUGACAGAUCGGAUUAAGUAUAGCAUGUGCCCUGUAAGCGAGAAUGAAGAGAAGAUCUGUCAAACUGCCAGAUGUAUUUAUGCGUAAGCUUUAUUUAGUGAAUAGUGGUAAUCAGGCGCUUCACUAACCACUAAGUAAGGGGAUGAUCAGUCUACGGAGUUAUCAUUUGGCAUCGUCGGAAUAUGAAAUGAUAUGAUGAACCGAACUAAACCUAAUGCCGAGGACCGUGAGUAUACAAGACAAAUAAUCAUAAUGAAU